GAUGAACGCUAGCGACAGGCUUAACACAUGCAAGUCGAGGGGCAGCAUAGAAGUAGCAAUACUUUGGUGGCGACCGGCGCACGGGUGAGUAACGCGUAUGCAACCUACCUAUCAGAGGGGGAUAACCCGGCGAAAGUCGGACUAAUACCGCAUAAAACAGGGGCACCGCAUGGAGAUAUUUGUUAAAGAUUAAUUGCUGAUAGAUGGGCAUGCGUUCCAUUAGGUAGUUGGUGAGGUAAUGGCUCACCAAGCCGACGAUGGAUAGGGGAACUGAGAGGUUGGUCCCCCACACUGGUACUGAGACACGGACCAGACUCCUACGGGAGGCAGCAGUGAGGAAUAUUGGUCAAUGGGCGAGAGCCUGAACCAGCCAAGUCGCAUGAAGGAAGAAGGAUCUAUGGUUCGUAAACUUCUUUUGCAGGGGAAUAAAGUGGAGGACGUGUCCUCUUUUGUAUGUACCCUGAGAAUAAGGAUCGGCUAACUCCGUGCCAGCCGCCGCUGUAAUAC
rnacentral:rRNA from 1 species